rnacentral:rRNA from 1 species
AACGAACGCUGGCGGCAUGCCUAACACAUGCAAGUCGAACGAGACCUUCGGGUCUAGUGGCGCACGGGUGCGUAACGCGUGGGAAUCUGCCCUUGGGUUCGGAAUAACAGUUGGAAACGACUGCUAAUACCGGAUGAUGACGUAAGUCCAAAGAUUUAUCGCCCAAGGAUGAGCCCGCGUAGGAUUAGCUAGUUGGUGAGUUAAAGGCUCACCAAGGCGACGAUCCUUAGCUGGUCUGAGAGGAUGAUCAGCCACACUGGGACUGAGACACGGCCCAGACUCCUACGGGAGGCAGCAGUGGGGAAUAUUGGACAAUGGGCGAAAGCCUGAUCCAGCAAUGCCGCGUGAGUGAUGAAGGCCUUAGGGUUGUAAAGCUCUUUUACCCGGGAUGAUAAUGACAGUACCGGGAGAAUAAGCUCCGGCUAACUCCGUG